UUGUGGCUGCAGGCAUUGACUUGAGUCGCUGUGUGUUUCCGAAUGUAAACAUGCAGUCCUGUACUGUAAGUGUCUAUGGAAAGCUUUUUUUCUUUUCUUUUUUUUUUUUUUUCAAUAUUCCUGGGAAUUCCCAUGGGACAGGAGACUGGAACAAGUGGAACCUUGUUGAUCUAUUGGUCCCAGUCCAAGAUGGCGGACGUCAAGGCAGUCACUGUGGCCCAUUGACCUUGCCUUGAAGCCACUAACAUCAACAUUCAAGGGUAAUAUUUUAAACACAUACAGACCUAUACCCCACCAAGUAAUAUUAUUGUCUAUAGUAAUAUUCAGACUCUUUCGUGAAUACCUACUAAUACUAAAAUGCAUUAAUGACACACAGCUCCAUAAUAAGGCACCGGUGUCUGUGGAAAUUCUAACAUAGCAGUAGUGAGAGGUUGUCAUAUUUAGCUCUAGUUACAAUGUGGAAAUGCAAUCAGCAAUAUCAUGCACACAUUAACACAUGAAACAGUUGACUAUAAUUGUAGAACCUAAAUGUAUGUAACGUAAUGAGCUUAUUUCAAAUACUUUAUACCCAAUUUCGGAAUCCACUUUCAUCAGCUUCGUUUGAUGUGAAACAACAAUUUGGAUCAUUUGAGGAGCCUUACAUCAAGGAAAUGAACGCCUAAGCAAACAUUUCACGCACCUUGAUUGCGAUCAAGCAAUAGCUACAUAGCUGGUAAAUACGCCAGUGAAUGUGAAGAAUGACCAGCUAACCAGCUGAUUCCUGUCUGAUGUUCGAUGUGUGUGCUCGCCCUUAUUUUACGAAGUAAAACUUGUUGUUCUUAUCUGAGCAUUGCAGUUUACCUUGUUACCUUGUUAACAUUUAGCCCCAAGUUCCAAUGUGAGUACAUCCUCUGGCAGCUAGUGAGGCUGUAGAAUUAUUCAUGUUCCAUCAUGUUUGGAAUAAGCUUAACAACUUCUGACCCUAACCCUAUUUCUGACCACACCACUCUGUGUGGUGUGGAGGCUGCAGCGCCUCUGACUGGAUGAACUUGAGGAGAGUGGUGAGGAUCAUCGGGACCCCUCUUUCCUCCGUUCAGGACAUCUCAUCACAGCGCUGCACGUCCCGAGCCCGUAACAUCGUCAGUGACCCCCACCAUGGACUGUUCUCCCUGCUGCCCUCUGGAAAGAGGUUCCGCAGCAUCUGCUGCAGGUCCACCAGGUUCUGCUACAGCCCCUUACCAUCAGACUGUUGAACUCUUAACUGGACUCUGCUCCACACUACAGAAAUUCUGUACAUAACUGAACAUACUUUUUUACUGUCAUUCUCUGCACCGAUAUUUUGCACUGUUAAACAUUUUUGCACUGUGAUACAUGUCACCCUAUCCAUCUACAUUGUUACUACAUUGGUAAUUUUUAUUACAUUGAGUUAUGCAACGUAAUUUUGUUCUGUAUAUACCAUGUGCAUACAAAAUGACACUAAAGUUUGUCUAAGUCAAAGUCCAUCAAGAUUAUCAAAGAUUUUACCCUCACUGA